ACAACCUUGUAUUUACACUAAAUUUAGGAAGGUGGAUCCUAAACUAGUAAUUAGAAAUUCUGUAACAAUUUUUUUAAGUCCAGGAGUUGGAAAUUACAGUAGGCAGGUUGCAGUAAUUCACACAUACACACUAGAAAAUAAUGGAAGAAGAGGAGAAAAUGGCUGAACGGAGCCUAAUCUGAAACAGAGAAGGAUUGGUUUUUACAAGAUCUUUUUUUCACUUUUCAGUCUUCUAAGUACCUAUUAGUCAAGGUGAUUAAGAUACCAUCAAUUAGAUUGGGGAAACAGUAUAAAUAUUUGAACUAGUCCAUUUUUCCUAAAAUCAGUCACACUAAAAUAACCUUACAUGUUUCUUAUUCAUUACAAUACAGUCAAACUAAAAUCAAUAAGCCUUAAGCACACUUAUCUUAUGUGUCGGUUUAUGAUUUUUGUGAUUCCAGGGACAUAGAAAUAACUACUAUGGAUUAGAUCUGAACCUAAAACUGGGUAGUUUUUGGACAACUGUCUGGAAUACUCAGAAUGGGGUAGAAGAAAUGAAUAUUGAAAAAGAGUAUAAUCAUUAUUAUGUUUCUUCUUGAAGGGAGCAGUGAAUAACUUGAGAAAUGUUUGUUCUAUUACAAGAAAUACCUAGAACAUAACACAGUUUUUGCUGGCUAUUUGCAAUUCAGAGCUUAUUUUGCGCGAAAGUUGCACAGAAGGCAGCAAUUUCUGUACAGCAAACAAAUCCUGUCUUUAUUGCAAAACAAUCACUCUUCAAGACACAGCUUAUUCUGUACAGAAUAUAACAUUGACCAGUUCACUUUAUACUUCAAUUUUUUUCUGUACCUGCCCUAUGCAAUAUUUCUUUGUUCUUCUUUUAAAGGUAGAUGGCUAAUCCUAUUUAUUUUAUUUUAUUUAUUUACAUCAUUUUUACCCCGUCCUUCUCACCCGGAGGGACUCAAGGCGGCUUACAAUAGUUGGCAAAUUACAUUGCCCAAAAUUCAUUUAAUAAAACAGUGACAUAUUAAUAAACAAUAAAACAAUACCACAUCAAUUAAAAUUCUUAUUAGACUCUAUAAAACCAUGAAUUAUAAAAUUUAAAAUGCAUGUAUAGUUAAUUAAUCCACUAACACCUUUGUGUGCACCUUGAUUCACGUCAUAUCGACCUCAGAUGUUACUCCUCGAACGCUUGAGUACAUAGCCAUGUCUUCAUUUUAAUCCUAGAAUGGCCUUGAGAACAACGUUGUUCAUUUACUAGUUAGACUUAAACCAAGGAUGAGAAAUGCCUUGGCAGGUCUAAAUCCCUUUUUUAAAUAAUAUCAAUAAUCAAUAAUAUAUAUCUCGUGUAUAUUUCAGUUUUUAAACAUUCUGCCAUAGUGUUGCACCCCAAGGUAGCGUGAGCACUGGAAACUAGACCGAGACCAAUAAACAUUUAAUAUCUUUAUUAAAGCAAAUAUAAAUUCAGGAAUGCAUAAGCGGAAUGGAUGAGAGGGAAAUAGUCCUUUGUGAAAAGGUAUGAAUAAGUCCAAAAAGAUGAAGGAAAAUGUCCAAUAUUAUUGUCCAAAGUCCAAAAACCGAAACACACUCAAACUGUUGGAAAGUUUGAGCGGGGAACAACAAGGAAACAAGGCUGAAUAACAAGGUCCCAAGUCCCUAGGAGAUCAUGGAUAUCAAAGCAGGAACGAGACAAAGCGAAGAUCAAACUUGAAUCAGGAACAAGACAAGGCAGUGAAUUUACUCCGGUUUAAAUCAGGAGUCGCAGCUUGGCUUGGCCGCCAGGAACAGGAGGCUUGGCUUGAUGAAAUCAGGGAACUGGAGUCGGUGAAGUGUUCUCAGGAAAUCGCUACUUUGACACCGCAAAGUGUUUGCAGUGCAAGACACUUUUAUGGAACGAAAAUCAGAUCCCAAUGAAGGGAAACCAAACUCCCCAAAGGUUCCCAAGGGAAUCUUCUUAUCCACAAUCCCCUCGAGAUGCCAAGCGGUUACUUCUUCUAGGCCCUUGUUUUUCUGAUCUCUGGCGAUACAAAAACUCCUAUCGGUUGAAGGGCACAUUCUCUGGGGAACUCUGGACAUCUGGUUCAGCCACGGGAGUAACAUCUUCCGUAUCUCUCCCAAUUAAGGAAGCAUCUGAACUAUUAACAGCUGGCAGCUGUAACCGGAGGGAGGGGGAGGGGCACCCCCAGCGGCCCCUCGGAUAAUGCAGUGGGUCGGUUAACCGGGGCUCGGUUAACCAGAGUUUUACUGUAUUGUAUUUUCAUUCUAUGGAAAUGCUUAUGUGGAAUAGCUCAGAAGGUGGCUUGAAAGUCUAUGAGAUAACAUAGCUAACAAGAGGAUGGUCCUUCCUCACACUGUUCACGAAUUUACAUUAUUAAGGGAUUUGAAGUGUUUAUUUUUCGCAUCUUGCAGGGCUCAUUGAGAAACUGCCCAAUGCUUUUGAAAUCCACAAAAUUAUGAUGCUUAGAUUAUAUUUCAGAGAACUAAAAUGCACAAAAAAUUGACACACACACACAUAUAUACACACACACUAGAGUUGAGUAUACAAGAUGGAGACAUUUCAAAAUGUUUUUUGGACUUUAACAAAAGACAAAAGAGGUGAGUGCAGAGGUAAAAGACAGAAAAGCCCUUGUGAAAAGAAGGGAAAAAAGAAGUCUUACAAAUAUGUGACAAAGUCAAGGGGAAAAGGAAGGUUGGAUGUGAAGGAAUGUGAUGAAAUUUUAACAGAGAUAAUGUAACAUCUCUAGGUUCAGAUCUUAUCUGUGCUACCUGAAUGGAGUCAAAGAUGUUCACUGAAUACAUAAUCAAUGCUUCCAUGGGUCAAACUUUUAGCUGACCUACACACUUCAUUGCCUGUACCUAGCUCUCAUACAAGGGAUUGUGCACACACUAAGACCUCUUCAUGUAUACAGUAAUAAGCUCAAUGACUCUGUAAAAUGUUCUAACAAAUGCAUGGUAAGUAAGGGAAGAGUUAGCUGCCACAAUGCUCCUUACUCAUGCAUUGUACGCUUUGGAAGGCUUUGGUGUCAUUUUUGUUUAGCCAUAAAGGUCCGUAGGAAUCAAAGCAGCUUUACACUUCAUUUUUAAGCCAGUGCCUAGCAUUUACAGAAGCAUCUUUUUGUCAUGUAAGAAUUUGAAGGCAUAUUUAUUUUAAAUCGUCUCCAGUAUUUGAGGCAUCUAAGAUCAAAGUCAUUACUUGAACGAUUUUUAUAAGAAUGUCAGCAAUAAAAUUCUUGUCUUUAUUGUUCAUAUGAGAAUGGAGGGAUGUUUGCUUCUUUUCUAAAGUGACCUCAUAAUUAUCAUAUAUAUAUAUAUAUAUAUAUAUAUCAGAGCCGGUCCAACAAUGAGGCAAAUUAAGCGGUCGCAAAACAUACAGGGACGCAGUCGAGACUCCUUUUUCUGUUGAUUUGUUGUAAAACAUGAUGGUUUGGUGCUUGAUUUGCAAAAUCUUAAUGUAAUUUGAUGUUUAAUAGGCUUUUCCUUAAUCCCUCCUUAUUAUCCAACACUUUUAUUUUUCAGUGAUUUGUUGGGGGGGGGGGCAAAAUUCUGUUCGCCUACACUUGAAAAAUACCUAGGGCUGGCUCUGAGAUAUAUAUAUAUAUAUAUAUAUAUAUAUAUAUAUAUAUAUAUGAAAUCUCUUCUCCUCCUUUCAUGCAGUCUUGUUUUUUUAAAGAAAACAAAAGCUCUUCCUUCUUGUACUAUAGUUUUGACAUGAUCCAAUGUGAUGUCUAAAUUGCAGUGCAACAACCAAGGACAAAAUGGUCUGAAUGAAGCAGUGCUGAGAAAGGGGGAAAAUGGUUAGAAUUUAAUUUGUCUCUAUUUUUUUCCCUUUUACAAUUAGAUUUGGAUGAGACAUCUCUAGUAAUUCAGCAAUUUGCUGAUAACUUAAGUCUAUAGGAUUUGUAGAUCGAAGCAAGAAAUAAAGGGGCAUCUGGCUUGAAUAGUGAAGGGAUGAGAACACAAUGAUUAAGGUUUCUUUAUUUCUUCAGCACAUUUUCCCCUGGGUUUUAAUUAGCCUGUUCAGCUUAAUGUAUGAUAUUGGUGCCUCUUAUGCUCAAUGUAUUAUUCUAGUCCCUGUAUUUCUACUUGUUCUGCUUUAAAACCUUGGUUGUUUUACUUUCUUUCUUUUUCUUUUCUUUGAACUUAGAUGCAGAUGACACCAAAUUGGGAAUGAAGGCGAAUACUCCAAACGACAGGAUCAGAAACCAAAUUGGUUUACUUAUUAGAGAGAGAUGUAUCAGUCAGUCCUCAUUUUUGCAAAUCCUGGCUGCUGUUAGGAAGAGACAGACCUCUCUCUUCUUUUCUGAUUGGUGCUUUCUGAUGCUGAUGCAGUCUGGGAAAUGUAGUUUAGGGCAGGGUUUUUCGAAUGCCCUAGAAUAGGGUUCCUCCCUUCCCAAACUACAUUUCCCGGAUUUCCAUGCUGUUGAAAAUUCACUGCUCUCUUUUGCCCGCUACUAAUGCCGAUACUGCAUUAAUUUCACAGAUGAAUGGCAAAGGAGCCUUCGGCUUUGCUUCCUUGCCUUGUAUUGAAUAUGAAGCUGUCUUUGGGAGCCUUCCAAGAUUUACAAAACUAAAAUGAAAAGUAAGGGCUUACAGUCUCUUAAAAAAGAAGGCUAGUGAGGAGCCAAAGAAAGCCAUAGAAGAAGAAAGGAAAAGAAACUACAUCAAAAGGGAGAAAGUCAAGCUACAGACUGCUGCCUUCAUGAAUCACGUCAGUGUAGUGUAUGACUACUGGAGGGAGAAUUGGAAGAGUUCAUCACAAAUACGCAGGCACUUCCAAAGUUGAUGGAAUCAGUAGUAAAAUGCCCUGUGGUGCUCUCCUGCCUGCAUCAGCAGGCUUUGUGGUAGGCAUGGGUGAAUCUUUCAGUUUCACUUAUUCAAACAAAUGUAAUCCCAUUCUAGAUAGUAUAUGAAUUUAGGUAAAUUGUUAUCAAAAAAGGAACCAAGCAAAAUCCUCAUCCAUUUCAUCCUACUGGCCAAAUUCUGCAGGAUAUUUAUCCUGUGUAGGAAAGCUUCAAUUUAUUUAUUCAUGUUAUUCCAACAAAACUCUAGUCAGAGACAUUGUAAAGACCGGUAACAGUUGAUGGAGAAAGUGUUAAACUACAGUCUGAAUAUCCCUUAUCUAAAAUGCUUGGGACCAGAAGUGUGCCGAAUUUUGCAUUUUUAUUUUAUUUUAGAAUAUCUGUAUUUGCAUAUACAGUAGAGUCUCACUUAUCCAAAUAAACGGGCCGGCAGAAUGUUGGAUAAGUGAAUAUGUUGGAUAAUAAGGAGAGAUUAAAUUGGGAGUCACGGCUCAGCUUGGCCACCAGAAACAGGAGGCUUGACUUGAUGAAAUCAGGGAACUGGAGUCGGUGAAGUGUUCUCAGGAAAACACUACGUUGACACCGCAAAUUGCCUGCAGUUCAAGGCACUUUUAUGGAACGAAGAUCAGAUCCCAACGAAGGGAGACCAAACUCCCCAAAGGUUCCCAAAGGAAUCUUCUUAUCCACAAUCCCCUCGAAAUGCCAAGCGGUUAUUCCUUCUAAGACCUUGUUUGUCCGAUCUCUGGCGAUGCAAAAUCUCCUUUCGGUUGAAGGGCAUGGUCUCUGGGGAACUCUGGACAUCUGGUUCAGCCACGGGAGUAGCAUCUCCAGUAUCUCUCCCAAUUAAGGAGGCAUCUGAAUUAUCAACAGCCGGCAGCUGUAAGUGAAAGGAGCUCGGAGAACUCGGCAAAUGGUCAGAAUAAGCUUCAUCUUGGUCAAAGUUCAUUUCUGGAUCAGGUUCAGAAGCCAAAGGUGGCUGGGGUAUGACAGCAGCAAAAGCACUCAGAGAUACCCAAGAGUAAUCUGGAGCUCCAUGGCUGCAGCUACAAUGCUGACAGGCAACAAAAAACUAGCUAAUGCUCCAGAGGACAGGAUUAGAAUUCAAAAUGACCUUGGCAGAUUAGAGAAUUGGGCCAAAACUAACAAAACUAACAAAAUGAAUUUCAACAAGGAUAAAUGUACGAUACUAAGGCAGAAAAAUGAAAUUCAGGGGUUCAGGAUGGGUUAUGCCUGGCUCAACAACAGUCCAUGUGAAAAAAACCUUGGAGUCUUCAUGGACAACAAGUUGAACAUGAGUCAACAGUGUCAACAGAGGCUAAAAUAGCCAAUGGGAUUUUGGGUUGCAUCAAAAGGAGUAUAGUGUCUAGCUUGAGGGAAGUCAUGGCGCCUUUGUAUUCUGCUUUGGUUAGAACUCUCCUGGAAUACUGUGUCCAGUUUUGGACAUUACAAUUGACAAGAGAUAUUGAUAAGCUGGAAGAUGUCCGGAGAAGGGCCACUAAAAUGAUCAAAUGUCUGGAGACCAUGCCCUAUGAGGAAUGUCUUAAAGAACUGGGUAUGUUUAGUCUGCAGAAAAGAAGGUUGAGGGGAGACGUCAUAGCCAUGUAUAAAUAUGUGAAACGGUGUCAUAGAGGGAGCAAAUUUGUUUUCUACUGCCCUUGAAACUAGAUUCAGAACAAUGGGUUCAAAUUACAGGAAAGGAGAUGCCACUUGAACAUUAGAAAGAACAUCUUGACCAUACAAGCUGUUCAAUAGUGGAAUUCUCUGCCUCCAAGUGUGAUGGAAACUUCUUCCUUGGAAACUUUUGAACAGAGUCUGGAUGGCCAUCUGUUAGGGGUAUUUUGUUUGUGCUCUUCCUGCAUGGCAGGGGGUUGGACUAGAUGGCCGAUGUGGUAUCUUCCAAUUCUAUUAUUCUAUGAUUCUAUGUAUGUAUGUGUAUGUGUGUGUCAGUGACUGAGAGAGAAAGUUUGUGUGAGAGACUAGAGAUAUUCUAAAAGGUCUUAGUUGGUUUCAAACUUUUUGUUGGUUACAAUCCUUUAGUUGGUUUCAAAUUUCUCUAUCCUGAGUAGUGGAGAUUACAUUCUUUAUCAAAAGGGAUGUCAUUCCUGAGUAUUAAAGUCUCCUGCUGUUUAAAAAAGUUUUUUUUUUCAUCCUCUACUUCAUUUAAUGAAAGUAACCUCUUGGCUAGUCUAGCAUGAAUAAACUUUAGACACCUCAGCUGCAUAGUGUAAUGAAGUAUUGGAUCUUCAUGCAAUGGUUCUAAUGUCAUUCAUUCUAUUUCUG